GGGUCGCAAGAGUAUGCCGAGUUUCUUCAUCUUCCUAAGAGGAGAUUUACGGACUUCGCUGCGGUCCGUAAAGAAAUUCAAGACGAGACUGACAGAGUAACUGGGAGGACAAAACAGAUAUCCCCAGUUCCCAUUCAUCUUAGCAUUUACUCUCCGAAUGUUGUCAACCUGACUCUUAUUGAUUUACCUGGUUUAACAAAA
rnacentral:misc_RNA from 1 species